UGAUGAAGCCAUGAGGGCACCACCCUCAUGGAUGGAAUCAGUGCCCUUAUAAAAGAACCCGAAGGAGCUUGUUCAUCCCUUCUGCCAUGUGAUGACGCAGAAAGAAGGAGCCAUCUAUGAAGCAGACAAUGAGCCCUCACCAGACACUAAAUCUGCCGGCACCUUGAUCUUGGACUUCCUGGCCUCUGGAACUGGUCUUGCUAUGUUUGCUCAGACUGGCCUCAAACUCCUCCCAAGUUAAAGCAAUCCUCCCACCUCGGCCUCCUGAGGAGCUGCGAUCACAGGUGUGCGCCACUGCACCUGGCGCCACAUUAACUUCUGAUGUCUCCUUGUGUGUACUGAUAUUUGAAUUAUAAUCUUGGACAGAUUUACUUUGAUCCCUAAAAUUCUUGUAUUAUCUGAUUAUAACCUCAAAGAAUUGAUUAUCACUGGCAAAACACACAUACGUAUGUGAACAAGAAGCUUAUGUUUUAACUGAAAUUGUUUUUCAGAUUUACUGACUGCUCAUUCAUGUCACCCAUAGGUGAUAUAGGACUUUGUAUGUUUUUGUUUUUAUAAAAAGUUAAUUUUACAGUUUUAAAGCAGGAUCUCAAAAUAUACUCACCGCUUGUUUUGCCUCAAGGAUAGUCCUUGUCUUCCUAACAAGGGAGGUGUCAAAUGACUUGACAGUGACUAACUCUACCACUGCAUUGCCACCAUAAAGAUUGUACAUGUCAUCUGCAAACUGAAAGUUAGUUAUUAACGUUAUUGGGAAUCUCAAAUAUGUACUUUUCUCAUUUUUAAUUAACAAAUUAAAAUCAUAUAUAUUUAUCACAUCAACAUAUUGUUUUGAAAUAUGUACACAUUGUGAAAUGGCUUAAGUACACAUUGGCUAAUUAACAUAUGCAUUACCUCACUACUUAUCAUUUUAUGCAAUGAGUCAAACAUACUUAUUAAAAUGAUUUUUAAAGCUUUUGUGCAGCUACAAGAACAAUGUACACUUACCUCCUGGCUCAUGAAAUAUACUACAUCUUAAAAUAAGCAAGUAUUAAAGGUUUUGAUUAUGCUCAACUAUACAGAAAAGUGUUGAGCUUUAACAUAUAUUCAAAUGUUCAGAAUAAAAUUACUUUAAGAAGAGACUGAAUUUGUCAGCAUAUAAAUUGGAGGAGGGAAAGUUGGAAAGAGAAAUGAAGAAAUCUUCCUAAGUGGUCUCUGGUUAAUCACAAACAUCUAUAAAAAUUAAAAUAUGAAGCCUCACUGAAAGGAUGCAGGUGAAGAACUUCAAGGGCAGAGGGGAACUAGCAUUUAUUAUGCAUCUACUAAGUGUCUGGUACUGUGCUGGGUGUUCUACUUCAGUUAUCUCAUAGUGUUUAAGCGGUACAGAGUUUCAGUUGGGGAAGAUGAAAAAGUUCUAGAAAUAAAAGAUAGUGAUGGUUGUACAACAUGUGAAUGUACAGGUACUUAAUAACACUGAACUGGACAAUUAAAAAUGGUUAAAAUGGUAAUUUUAUGUUAUAUAUAUUUUACCACAAAAAUUUUGUAAAGCUUUGUGUGAGAUAACUUUUCCUAAUGCUGUUCUUUCUAGCAUUAGGAAGAAAUAUAUCAAUAUACAUUUUUGACCCUACUCCAUCCUUGGCCAAUAUAAUUAGAGGAACCCCAAAGAAGGCAAGUAAGAGCUCAAUCAACAGUGUUUGAAACAGCAGAUUUUUCUAUUAAGAAGCUAAAAGUGAAAUGGUCAGACUCCAGCCUCUCAUGUCUCAUUGAUAUUUACCUUUUGCAAAGCGUCAACAAGGAUCUUAGAAGCAUCUCUGAAUUGUUCAGAGUCUUCCCCAUAACGCUUCCCAAUUUCAUCCAAACCUGCCAGCUCCAGUGAAUACAAAUCAGGAGAAUGAUCCUUGGCUAGAUGCUUAUGACGAGACAGC